rnacentral:rRNA from 1 species
GACGAACGCUGGCGGCGUGCUUAACACAUGCAAGUCGAACGGUAAGGCCCUUCGGGGUACACGAGUGGCGAACGGGUGAGUAACACGUGGGUGAUCUGCCCUGCACUUCGGGAUAAGCCUGGGAAACUGGGUCUAAUACCGGAUAGGACCACUGCCUGCAUGGGUGGUGGUGGAAAGCCUUUGCGGUGUGGGAUGGGCCCGCGGCCUAUCAGCUUGUUGGUGGGGUGAUGGCCUACCAAGGCGACGACGGGUAGCCGGCCUGAGAGGGUGACCGGCCACACUGGGACUGAGAUACGGCCCAGACUCCUACGGGAGGCAGCAGUGGGGAAUAUUGCACAAUGGGCGCAAGCCUGAUGCAGCGACGCCGCGUGAGGGAUGACGGCCUUCGGGUUGUAAACCUCUUUCAGCACCGACGAAGUGCAAGUGACGGUAGGUGCAGAAGGAGGACCGGCCAACUACGUGCCAGCCGCCGCAGUAACAC